rfam:Clostridiales bacterium 36_14 Ley3_66761_scaffold_3110, whole genome shotgun sequence.
GUUCCCUUAGUUAAAUGGAUAUAACGAGGUCCUCCUAAGACUUUAUUGUAGGUUCGAUUCCUACAGGGAACG